rnacentral:rRNA from 1 species
CGUGAGUGAUGAAGCCCUAGGGUUGUAAAGCUCUUUUACCCGGGAAGAUAAUGACUGUACCGGGAGAAUAAGCCCCGGCUAACUCCGUGCCAGCAGCCGCGGUAAUACGGAGGGGGCUAGCGUUGUUCGGAAUUACUGGGCGUAAAGCGCACGUAGGCGGCUUUGUAAGUCAGAGGUGAAAGCCUGGAGCUCAACUCCAGAACUGCCUUUGAGACUGCAUCGCUUGAAUCCGGGAGAGGUCAGUGGAAUUCCGAGUGUAGAGGUGAAAUUCGUAGAUAUUCGGAAGAACACCAGUGGCGAAGGCGGCUGACUGGACUGGUAUUGACGCUGAGGUGCGAAAGCGUGGGGAGCAAACAGGAUUAGAUACCCUGAUAGUCCACGCCGUAAACGAUGAUAACUAGCUGUCCGGGCACUUGGUGCUUGGGUGGCGCAGCUAACGCAUUAAGUUAU